rnacentral:tRNA from 1 species
UCCCGUGGUGUAGUGGUCCAUCAUACCGGGUUUUGGUCCCGGUGACGGAGGUUCGAAUCCUCCCGGGACUACCA